AGGAUCACGGUUUGAAACCAUCCCCGGAAGAAAAGUCCAUGAGACACCAUCUCCAGCUGACCAGCAAAACACCAUACUGGAGACAUAACCUAACUGGAAGAGUGCCAGCAAUGAGCAAUAAAGCUGCGUAAGAGUGUAAAAUCUUGAUUUCAAAAUCUUGCGCUGGCCAAAAAUAAAAAAGAAAGAAAGAAAAUCAACGGAGGAGGGGAGGAAUUCUUGGAAUUAGUUCUGGCCUCAGAACUUUUAGCUCUCAGGGCUCAAAUAAAGUCAUCAAGAUCUGGUCUUCACGACUCCUCAGGUUGUCUUCAGAGCCAGCUUCCUUCCCUUUCAGCAGCUCUCCGUCACUCGCUUGUAUUUCCUGAGGAUUGGCUCUGCAAGGGAAGGAUUGCCCUUUCAUCACUCCCGCACGCCCCCUGGAGGCUGAUCCCAUUGUCCAUGGAUGAGGGGACCCUGCUGAUGGGAUCAGACCGUCUCUGGUCUUCCAUUUCCUGUGGUCGUCUAACUCUAAGCCACUGUGAGAUGCGGUCUUGAUGACUUACAUCAGGUUUCAUUUUGAUGAAUUCUUAUUAAGCACAAGACACUAAUUCAAAACAAUGAUGCGUUCUUAUUCUACUUCAUGAACCAUUUUCUAGGACAAAUUUCUUUGAGGACCUGACACACAAGUGAAUGCAUGAAAUAAAGAAAACAAAGAUCAAUUUUAGGGCACUAUUCCGACUGACGAGUACAAUGAGCACAUCACUGCUGAUUUUUAAGAGCCCACUUCUGGAGCUGAGACUCAAGCUCUGCUCUCUUGUACCCAGAGGGCUACCUGGUGAUCAUUAGACUUCUCCACUCCCCACGUCAGUCCAAGGUCACCAACACUGUCCCAGGAGCGGCGUGUGUGUGUACUGAUGGCCAAGGAGCAAUCUCCCCAGAUAGUCUAUGAGGCCUAAAAAGAGACU